AAUGUUCUAAGUCACCGGCUCUGGAGCUUCUUUGCACUUUGGAACCAACUUGCGGGAAGGAACUUUAAAAAUACUGAUAUCUCGAUCCAUCCCCAGAGGUUCUGAUUUAAUGGUCUUGGGGAUAUGGCCACGGCAUGAGGACUGUUAAAACUCCGCAGGUGAUUCUUAUGUGCAACAAAGUUUAAGAACCACUGAUGUAGGCCAUGUCGAUGUCAGUCUUCACUUAAAUCCAACAAGACCCCAGAGCUAAAACGUUCACCUGAAAGAAACCCCAUUCCCAGGCCUGCAUACUGACCUGCGCUGGCUCACAAGAAGCAAAGUGGUCCCUUAACAGGGGCUUCCUGGAGAAAAUGUCUUGACCUAAAAGAGUGAUUCGAGCUGCAGGGAUUUAAGAGAGACAGGGCCUUGCUCUGUCACCCAGGCUGAAAUGCAGUGUUGCAAUCUUGGCUCGCUGUAGCCUCAAGCUCUUGGACUCAGGCGAUUCUCCUAUCUCAGCUUCCUAAGUAGCUGGGACUACAGGGCUCAGUGUGGUCAAAAGAAGACUAUAGAAUCAAGGAUGAAGAGAAGGAACACAGAAUAAAAGGACGUCUCAGCAGGAAGCUCUGUGACUACUAUGUCAAAUGAUGCCAUACAGUGAAGCACCUUGAAAGAUUGCUGGGAUAAGCUGACAGCAUGGCAGCCAAAAUAGUGACCCCAGGCUUGCAGGAAUUCUGUGCUUUCUGGAGGAAAUGGUCAUGGGUUUCCCAACCUGCCUUUUAAACUAAGGACCGAGCUGAAGAAGCCCCCGUCUUCCAGCGCAUGUUAUUCCCAUGACAGAUGCUAAAAGUUCAAGGGGAGAGCUACAAGAAGUGCGUUUUCCUGUGGCUACUUUCAUGUCUGGAUGCAAUGCCUAGACCUGCAUCCAUCUUGCGACCAACCUGAAGAUGAACAGAAAGGAAGGAAGGAUGGCCCAAUAGCCUGGGAAGAACUGGUGUUCCUGAUACCAUCAUUAACCACAGAAUCUACAAUCCCGGAACCCCCCAUCCUUAACCAUGGAAUCUACAAUCCUAUCUCUAGACCCUUUGUCCAGAUGCUACAGUUUCUUUGUUCAAUCUAGUUUGUGUCAGGAUUUCUGUUCAUUACAUCAAAAGUAUUCUAAUACUUGUAGCAAAGCAACUGGAGAAGUUUUCACUUUGUCUUUAACCAAAGAAGACUUCCAGGAAACAUCUCCUCAGUGGGUUUCUCCCUCACCACUGGAUUUUUAUCUCUGUACUAGUGCUUUGAUUUGUUUUAGGAGUCUCACCUCUCCACCUGUCAUAUUUCCCUGGCAGGCUCAUUUCUGCUAAUGCCCACAAUAUGUGUAUCAAUGAGCUUUCAACGUUAGGUACACAGCUCUUCAGGCAUGUAUAGCACAUUAAUCUGUCUGCUUCUAAGUGGUCUGUUGACAUGUUUGGGUGCCAGUUAUAUCUACAAGGCUGUGAUCAUUGUCCUGGGUUAUUCUGUUUGUUCUCUCUGCAGGAUGCAUUAGGACACCCAAGGCCAUGGCCAUCACUUACAUCUAGGAUUCAAUCUUAUCUCCUGUGAAUCACUGGAAACCUCCUGUCCUGGAACCCUUUUUUUCCACAUCCCACUGGAUGUCAUUCAUAGCAACUGGUCUUGUGGGUUGUCUAUUUUAUUGUGUUGUCUUACUCUUCCUCCUGGUAUCAGUUUUUAAAUCCUCUUGAUGAGAUCAGCUGAUCAGUCGCUAAGCAACAUAGUCCCCCAUGUCUUUGUAAGAUUCUCUGCACUCAUGGCUAGAAUGAUUUAUUCUGGUAUCUUAAGCUGUGUUUCAGAACCUCAUUCUAAAUAUCAACCUAUUCUUGUAAGUCCACUACUGAUCAUCUUUAGAUAUUCUUCAGUCUUCCAGAGUUCCAAAGGGCAGUAGGAAGAAGCAAUGAAAAUACCACCUGUAUUCUCACAUCUUUCAUUGUUCCACUCAAAAAAUACCACCAUGUUCACUUCUGGUGGAACGUUUAUGUCCAUGAGAAGCAGUGGCUUUGAAGAGUUUUGGCAGACUAUGGCGCCUUACUCAACAUUGGGAAGGGGGGUUCCAACUCUUUUAAGGUCUCAUCUUCAGCACUUCUAAACUGUGGGAAACUAUGUGAAAACAAAUGGAGUGGCCAAACACACCAUUCAUCACUGUGCUUCUGGACAGCUGCAAGUCCAUACGUGUUCUGAUAAUUCAAUACAAGAAAGAAGAUUUGCUUGGGAAGGUCUGAAUGGCCCUAGCUUUGUUUGUUAACCAUAACCUCUACCAGCUGGAAACACAAUGCCCCACUAAUACUAACAGUGCCUGCUUGUCCAAACAGCAUUCUGGCCACUUACAGCAAUUGACACAAAUUCUAACAGGUAGAUGGGGCAAAGCAUUACCUUGUGUAAAACUGCUGCUAAAAUAUAUUCCUAGUGAGAAAGGUCAACUUGUGGGCUAAAGUCCUUGUCACCUCCUGAUCAGUUUUCACUUAGGGCACAGCAGUCUGCCAUUCACCAUUGGGAUCUCUGUGUGUUUCUUCUCUCUUAUGAAAGGACAUAUUGAGCGCUCUAGGACUUGGCUGCCUACAUCAAGUAGAGGGGGACCCUCAUGAUUCACUAAGGGGCCUCAGUUCUGAAUAUUUCUCAUUAUUCAAAAAUGCAAAGCCAUUGUCAUUACGUGGCAGUUUAUUGGAACCAAGGGAGGAAUUGGUCCCUUUUCAUGUUCUUCUCCUAAAUAGAGAAAAGGUAAUUAAAACUUGGAGCUUAAU
rnacentral:lncRNA from 1 species